rnacentral:rRNA from 1 species
UGGGGAAUUUUGGACAAUGGGCGUAAGUCUGAUCCAGCAAUGCCGCGUGCAGGAUGAAGGCCUUCGGGUUGUAAACUGCUUUUGUACGGAGCGAAAAGGUCUGCCCUAAUACGGUGGGCUCAUGACGGUACCGUAAGAAUAAGCACCGGCUAACUACGUGCCAGCAGCCGCGGUAAUACGUAGGGUGCGAGCGUUAAUCGGAAUUACUGGGCGUAAAGCGUGCGCAGGCGGUUAUGCAAGACAGAGGUGAAAUCCCCGGGCUCAACCUGGGAACUGCCUUUGUGACUGCAUAGCUAGAGUACGGUAGAGGGGGAUGGAAUUCCGCGUGUAGCAGUGAAAUGCGUAGAUAUGCGGAGGAACACCGAUGGCGAAGGCAAUCCCCUGGACCUGUACUGACGCUCACGCACGAAAGCGUGGGGAGCAAACA